UACGUAGGGUGCGAGCGUUAAUCGGAAUUACUGGGCGUAAAGCGUGCGCAGGCGGUUCGUUGUGUCCGAUGUGAAAGCCCUGAGCUCAACUUGGGAAUGGCAUUGGAAACUGGCGGGCUGGAGUGUGGCAGAGGGGGGUGGAAUUCCACGUGUAGCAGUGAAAUGCGUAGAGAUGUGGAGGAACACCGAUGGCGAAGGCAGCCCCCUGGGCCAACACUGACGCUCAGGCACGAAAGCGUGGGGAGCAAACAGG
rnacentral:rRNA from 1 species